rnacentral:piRNA from 1 species
GAGCCUGGGUGCUCAGAGCUGGGCAGAUUG